rnacentral:rRNA from 1 species
GACGAACGCUGGCGGCGUGCUUAACACAUGCAAGUCGAACGGAAAGGCCCUGCUUUUGUGGGGUGCUCGAGUGGCGAACGGGUGAGUAACACGUGAGUAACCUGCCCUUGACUUUGGGAUAACUUCAGGAAACUGGGGCUAAUACCGGAUAGGAGCUCCUGCUGCAUGGUGGGGGUUGGAAAGUUUCGGCGGUUGGGGAUGGACUCGCGGCUUAUCAGCUUGUUGGUGGGGUAGUGGCUUACCAAGGCUUUGACGGGUAGCCGGCCUGAGAGGGUGACCGGCCACAUUGGGACUGAGAUACGGCCCAGACUCCUACGGGAGGCAGCAGUGGGGAAUAUUGCACAAUGGGCGGAAGCCUGAUGUAGCAACGCCGCGUGCGGGAUGACGGCCUUCGGGUUGUAAACCGCUUUCGCCUGUGACGAAGCGUGAGUGACGGUAAUGGGUAAAGAAACACCGGCUAACUACGU